rnacentral:rRNA from 1 species
ACGUAGGAGGCGAGCGUUAUCCGGAGUUACUGGGCGUAAAGCGUGCGUAGGUGGUUCGUUAAGUCUGAUGUGAAAGCCCUGGGCUCAACCUGGGAAUGGCAUUGGAUACUGGCGAUCUAGAGUGCGGUAGAGGGCAGUGGAAUUCCCGGUGUAGCAGUGAAAUGCGUAGAGAUCGGGAGGAACAUCUGUGGCGAAGGCGACUGCCUGGACCAGCACUGACACUGAGGCACGAAAGCGUGGGGAGCAAACAGGA